rnacentral:rRNA from 1 species
AGCAGCCGCGGUAAUUCCAGCUCCAAUAGCGUAUAUUAAAGUUGUUGCAGUUAAAAAGCUCGUAGUUGAAUUUCGGGGUUAGUAGGUUGGUCAUGCCUCUGGUAUGUACUGGUCUCACUGAUUCCUCCUUCCUGAUGAGCCGUAAUGCCAUUAAUUUGGUGUUGCGGGGAAUUUGGACUGUUACUUUGAAAAAAUUAGAGUGUUUAAAGCAGGCUAACGCUUGAAUACAUUAGCAUGGAAUAAUGAAAUAGGACGUUCGAUCCUAUUUUGUUGGUUUCUAGGAUUGACGUAAUGAUUAAUAGGGAUAGUUGGGAGCAUUAGUAUUCAAUUGUCAGAGGUGAAAUUCUUGGAUUUAUUGAAGACUAACUACUGCGAAAGCAUUUGCCAAGGAUGUUUUCAUUAAUCAAGAACGAAAGUUAGGGGAUCGAAGACGAUCAGAUACCGUCGUAGUCUUAACCAUAAACUAUGCCGACUAGGGAUCGGAUGAUGUUAAUUUUUAAUGACUCAUUCGGCGCCUUAA